rfam:Oryza barthii chromosome 4, whole genome shotgun sequence.
AAAAAGGCAAACCAUAGGUUCCCGUGCCAACGUUUGACUAUCUAUCUUAUAUGAAAUUUUUUUAUAAUUAAUAUUUUCAUUGUUGUUAGAUGAUAAAACAUGAUUAAUACUUUAUGAGUGACUUAUCUUUUUAAUUUUUUUUCAUAUUUUUUUUAAAUAAGACGGACGGACGGUAAAACGUUGGACACGGAAAUCAGUGUUUGUUUUUUUU